CCGCACUUUCCUCUCCGGGCGGGGCGGAAGCGCCUCUUCUGCCUGCAGGCCGAGGCCUCCUGGGUUCCGGUCCCUACCCCGCUGCAGCUCCUCGUGGCAGUUCUGGGUUCGAACCCGUACAGUGGGGACGACUGUGAAUGGGGCGGGUCUGGGCCUGGCCGCCCCUCCAAGGCUGCUGCUCGCCCUUGCUCGGCCCCGCCUGGGCCCCGGAGUGGGGAAGGGGCCGAGCUCGUGGGUUCUGCAUCGCUUCUUCCACGCGGUGUGAUUUCACAAUGGGGAGGAGUCGGGCUCACAAUGGAUUUCCACACCCCAGUGCGUGAUGACCGCUCCAGUCGUGUCUGUGCUAUUUACACAGGGAACCACUGCUCAGAGCGAGGAGGAGUCGCGGGCAGUUCUGC
rnacentral:lncRNA from 1 species